GGUCAACCGUGUGUCCUGGCGGGAGGGAGGUGCCGACGCCAUCAUCAGUGCAGCUGUGGCUCUCGCAAGGAAUUCACUCUCUUCUCCUUGCCCGCUAUAAAUUCCAAUAAUAUGUCCUUGUAUGUGUUAAAUUAUCAGUGUUUGAAAAUUAUCACGGAAUUAUGUGUGAAAUAUUUAGUGUUAUUAUGGUUUUAGUUUAUGUUAAGAUACAAGUUGCCGUGGGGAGCUUCAAAAUGUCGACAUUACUAAACUCAGCAUUCACAACACAAUAAAUUCCAAUACCAUGUUCUUGCUUGUGUUGAUUUGAUUUGAUAAGUUUAUUGUUGAAAAAAAAAAUACAAGAAAGGAGAUGGGAGGAGCCUGCCACCCAUCCCCCAAACAAAUGUUCAUAGAAUACUAAUGUAUUGCAGUACAAAAAUAAAUAACCUUAAGUAUAUUUACAUUAUUUACAAAGAUGGAGCAAAAAGUGGGAAAUCCUUGAGGAUGGCAGGGAUGAUGUCAUUGUUGAAGAACCAGCUUAUCAUUGGUGGCAGGUCCCAGUUCCCCUGUGGGCGGAAAUGCACCUGCAAGGGACACUCCAUGACAUAGUGGGCAAGUGUGCAAGUUCAUGUGGGAACCAGUUAUAUUUAGGAGCAGCAAGUUUUUCUAUAUCUACACUGACUUUGUGAGGUCUCCAAGAGGGGGAACCAGAGGUGGUAACAACAUGAGAGCUUCCUGUUGAUUAAGAGUACACCAAAUGCACUCCACAUCUGGUCAUUACCUGCAAGGCGCCAACGAUCCUGAGGGGCAGCUGUCACAUCCCAGCCCAACAAGUGGGCUCCACUGAGGCUCUAAGAGGCGUACAUACGAUUGAUGGCAUCCUGAUACUUCAGUUGGAUGCUUUUACGCUUCAGCUUGAAGGCGGCAGUGACAAGACCAGUGUCUGGCGUCCAAAGUUCAGAAGAGAGGAAGAGUGCAGUUGGUAGCUCGAACUUUUCUAGUUUUGCUGCAAAAUACAAUUUUUGAGAAUAGGUCAGAAGUUAUGUAAGAAAUGUCAAAACAAAUUCAUUUCCUGAAGUGCCACACCUUGUAUGAGCAGAUAGGUGAUUACUCACUAUGAUAAGUCCUUUUAACAUAAAAACCUUCACUAUAACUCUCCUAUCUCCCUUGCACUAUGAAUAUUGUACAGAUUGUAAAUAUUGGUGAUAUGUUGCCCAACAAAUCAUAAUGAUAACCUUGUUGGUUCUCUGUACAUUAAGUGAAACUACAAGAGUACUAUAAGAUUGUAUGUUCACAAUUUCU